rnacentral:rRNA from 1 species
AUUGAACGCUGGCGGCAUGCCUUACACAUGCAAGUCGAACGGUAACAGGUUAAGCUGACGAGUGGCGAACGGGUGAGUAAUAUAUCGGAACGUGCCCAGUAGUGGGGGAUAGCCCGGCGAAAGCCGGAUUAAUACCGCAUACGACCUACGGGUGAAAGGGGGGGAUCGCAAGACCUCUCGCUAUUGGAGCGGCCGAUAUCAGAUUAGGUAGUUGGUGGGGUAAAGGCCUACCAAGCCUGCGAUCUGUAGUUGGUCUGAGAGGACGACCAGCCACCAUGGGACUGAGACACGGCCCAGACUCCUACGGGAGGCAGCAGUGAGGAAUAUUGGUCAAUGGGCGAGAGCCUGAACCAGCCAAGUCGCGUGGAGGAAGACGGUUCUAUGGAUUGUAAACUCCUUUUGCGGGGGGGUAAUUUGCGGGACGUGUCCUGUAUUGCAAGUACCCUGCGAAUAAGCAUCGGCUAACUCCGUGCCAGCCGCCGCCGUAAUAC